AUACCUCGAGAUAGUGAUUUCCCUUUUGGGCCAGAGUGCCAGGUGGAAAAUGGUUGUCGUCAGCUCGUGUCGUGAGAUGUUGGGUUAAGUCCCGCAACGAGCGCAACCCUUGAUCUUAGUUGCCAGCAUUUAGUUGGGCACUCUAAGGUGACUGCCGGUGACAAACCGGAGGAAGGUGGGGAUGACGUCAAAUCAUCAUGCCCCUUAUGACCUGGGCUACACACGUGCUACAAUGGACAGAACAAAGGGCUGCGAGACCGCAAGGUUUAGCCAAUCCCACAAAUCUGUUCUCAGUUCGGAUCGCAGUCUGCAACUCGACUGCGUGAAGCUGGAAUCGCUAGUAAUCGCGGAUCAGCAUGCCGCGGUGAAUACGUUCCCGGGCCUUGUACACACCGCCCGUCACACCACGAGAGUUUGCAACACCCGAAGUCGGUGAGGUAACCUUUAUGGAGCCAGCCGCCGAAGGUGACAAGAUGGGCU
rnacentral:rRNA from 1 species